CGGUGAAUACGUUCUCGGGUUCUGUACACACCGCCCGUCAAGCUACGAAAGCCGGUAGUGCUUAAAGCCAACUAAGGUUGGUGAGAGUAGGAUUGGUGAUUGGAGUU
rnacentral:rRNA from 1 species